ACAGAGCUGGAUGGUUCCAUCAUCAGUCCUUCCAGAUAUAAGGGAUGUGAGUGUCUAGGUUCUUGCUGCUCUGUGGAGUGCGGGCUGAGCUGGGGUUUUGGAAUUGAAAGAGUCCAAGAAGCUAUCAGUUGGCUCUGCAGAGGGGCCAGGCUGUCUUCCUCUCAGACCUCCUGCAGCUAGCUAACUGAAACUGUGGGAAGGGCUUCUGAGCAGAGGUCUAGUGUGGGGAGAAGGCUUCAGGAAGGAACAGGGAGCAGGGGCAGUUUCAAGUGAACCUCAGUUACACUUUUACCUACUUAAGUCAACCCAGAAACUAAAGGAAGGGUUGGUUUUUGGAAGGGAACAAGAAUAGAGGAAGUCCUGAUUACCACAUGACCCAUCUGGACAAGUGUCACUUCCUGAUCAGUGGCUUUCAUGUUGGACUUUGAAGAGAAAUCUCAGUGGGUUCACGGGCAGCUUGUUAGACAGUGACCAUUGCCUUCACUUGUGACCAACAGCUUCCAGUGCAAUGGUAAGAGACAUCUGGUUUCAAAUGCAUACAGGGCCAAAAGUUUGGAGUUUCUUCAUGCCAGAAGUGGCCUCCCUGAGGGUCCAUGGCUGAGGGCAGGGCUAGCAUUCACACUCUGUACUUUGCCUAGGUCUCUGUCUCUGGGCCUCUGUUCUGCUGAGGUGCAAUACCUCAGCACCUCUCCAAAUUGGGUCAGAAAGGGCAAAUUCAAAGAAAUGAAAUCUGUCUCCUUCCAUUUGGCAGUUUGCAAAAGUCUACUAAAACGAAAUUGCCAGAUAUUACUUCUCUAGACCUCAGGCAAACAGCCAGAAGAGGAAGAUCUGAUUAUCUCCUAAACUCUGCCUUGCCCUCUCCCGUCACUGACCGGUUAUCUGUGAGGAGCAAGAACUGAUUCAGCCACCCCUCCCCUUUCCAGACCUUCUCUCACACCCUGCAGCUUGGUCUCUGCAGCUUCAUGAGGCCACUAAACCAGUGCUUGAAGCUGCCUUCUUUUCUAAGCUUCUUACCUUGCUCCCUUUGAUCUCUGAGUGGGUCUAUUCACCCAGGAAACUGUGUAACCCAUUACCCAACAUCCAGGGUUCCUCUGUGCAGUCUGCAGAGGCACACGCCAAGCGUUCUUAUGGUGGUUUCCAUGUUGGGGAGGGCUGGACUAUAUAUGUCUGGGUACUCUGAGAUCUCAGAAAGAGCUGUCAGCACUUUUCCAUAUCAGGAUUUAUUUAUUUUUUUGAUCUCUGCUUUGAACUUAAUGUAGAUGAAGGGACAAAAUUGUGUUCAAGUCUCGCAGGAACCUUGACCUUCAGUGGUCGGAGUUCACUGAGCCAAUAUAUUGAGCCUCUCCAUUACUAUAUUUGGAAAGAGGAUCUCCCGAAGCAGUAGAUUGAUUGUCCUAUGGGACAAAUCUGGGACAUCUAUUCAUGAAGCAGGACUCCCACAGGUCACGGGCAGUUACCUGACACCACUCAUGCUCCAGCUAGGUCUGGGGCGGAGCCUGCAAAACCACCUCUCAGGAAUUUGCUCAUCCCAGGACCUGCUGAGCUCACAGGGCCCACAAGGUGGCGCAUGAACUGCAGCUACGGGAGAUGGCUGUGGACACACGGUUUUCCGCACAAGAAAGCAAGCCAGAGUAUUCAUCAGGUCGGCCUUUCUCGAACCUUACGGUUCUAUGCUUAAAUAUUUCCAUCUUAUAUCUAUCCCUAUGUUUUUCUCUUGUAAAAGCAGGCUCAGUUUUCUAUGGCUAUCUCUAAUAAAGCACAUGGCACUUGUUCAAAUGCUUGGUAACUUGAUUUCACUCCUUGGAUUGCAGUAGGCAUUGGAUUUGUUAUCAAAGCCCUACUACCUUAAAGUGCUAUUCUACAGCGUUUGGAAAAAUCUCAUGCUCAACAAAGGAUUGCAUCUAGACCACACAGAGAACGCUCAAAACCAAAGAUAUAUAAUCCUUCUGUAGGGAUGACUAAAGCAUGGCCUUACAUGUGACCUUAUGAAAAAAGACAUUUAAGUGACUUACAGAUCGGCAGACAAGAUGAUUACAUGAGGGAAGAACAGAUCAGUGGUUGUUAAGUAGUGGGAGGCAGGGGUGUAGCUGUACAGGGGUGGCAUCAGGGAGCCUUGUGAUGUUGGCACAGUUAAAUAUUAACUACAGGGAGUUACUAUGUAGAGCUUCAUUUUAAAAUGUUCUAGAGAUGUAAAACUACAUACAGCUGAGUGUAUGUAGGGAUAUCUGAACAAGCUAUGGGGAUUUUACCAGUACCUAAUCCUGGUGUUGACGUGGAGUGUUUAAAUACGAUGCUACACUGAGGGAAACUGGGCGACUGGUACACUGGGGCUUUCUCUUUAAAGGUUUUGCAACUUCCUGUGGAGCUUUUGGUAAUUUGAAAAUGUCUAACUACAGAAAUGUGUGUGUGUGCGUGUGUGUGUGUGGAUGUGGUGGACGUGUGUUCACACACAUACAGGCUGUGGUAUAUGGAGGCCCAAGGUUGAAGUCAAGCGCCUUCUGUGCCGUUCUCUAACUGUUUUUCAGACAGUAACUCUCAUUGAAGCUGGAGCUUUUGGACUCAGCUAGACUGGCUGGAUGGACUCAGGCAGGCGUGUCUCUUCGUACUUCCAGCUAUGUGGUUACCGACGCACGCUGUAGUGCCCAGCUUUUCAGUGGGCUCUGGGAACCCAGACUCAGGUGGUUGUGCUAAUGUGGCAAACACAUUACCCAGUGAGCCAUCCUACCAGUGCAACAAAUCUUCUUAAAGGUGUAUGCGUUUAAGGUAGACAGCAUGACGCUCUGGUACACUCAGUGAAAGAGGACAACAGUGAGCGAGUGUCCAUCGCCCACAUGGUUCUGUGUGUGUGUGUGCGUGCGUGUGUGCGCGUGCGUGCCCAAAGCCUACUUUCUGAGCACAUUUCAAUAUACUGUACUGUUAGCUAUGACUCUCAUUAGAUGUUUAUUCAUUCCACAUAACUGAAUUCUGUGUCCUUUGACCGGAGAUUUUUCAAAGUAAGGUGAAAAAACUGCAUUCUAAAGUGUGCUGGGGAUGAAAAGAAUGAAGAAAAAGGCUUACAAUAGAGCAGCCAUGUGAGAGGGAAGCUGGGCUGGACCUACCAUCACUGGGUUCAAAACCUGAUGUGUCCGUGACAGGGGGAUAGUUCUCAUCAGUGCACUUUGGAUCCAUGGGUUUUAAUCACCUGUUGAUACUAUGUAGGUUAGGGCUAUGAGAAUUUUAACUUUUCACAAGGAGAUUCAAUGGACCCAAGGGGCUGUAAGCAGGCAAAACACUCUCGACAGCCUGGGGCACAGUCAGCAUGUGAGUGAGUGUUUGUUCCCCUGCAGCUGACAGCAAUGAAAUAUUUCCAGCUAGCUAAAAUGGGAGGGGGAUCACCAGUGUCCCUCUGACAGACAAGGAACACAUACUUGAGAUUACCACUGAGCCUCAUGAUGUGGUGUAAAUGUGCAUUGGAAGAUCACGCAGUGACCUGUAAGUAUGUGCAAUCGAGGUUAAAGUGAAGGCAGGCAGGCUGCAGGUGGCUCAGUCAGUAAAAUGUGUAAAUGAGAACUUGAGUUUGGACCCCCAGUGCGUGUGUAAGCAGUCAGUUGUGGCAGUACACACCUGUAAUCCUGAUACUUGGGAGGAGAAGCAGGAGGCUCCCCUGAGGCUCCCUGGCUGGCCAGUCUAGCUGAAUCAGUCAGCUGAAGGCUCACAAAGAGACCUAGUCUUCAUGGAAUAAGGUAGAAAGUAGAGGAAGAUACACGAAGUCCUACACUUGAUUCCAUAUACGUGU